rnacentral:rRNA from 1 species
UCUACGGGUGGCAGCAGUGGGGGAUAUUGCACAAUGGGGGGAACCCUGCUGCAGCGACGCCGCGUGGGUGAAGAAGCGCCUCGGCGCGUAAAGCCCUGUCAGCAGGGAAGAAAAUGACGGUACCUGAAGAAGAAGCCCCGGCUAACUACGUGCCAGCAGCCGCGGUAAUACGUAGGGGGCAAGCGUUAUCCGGAUUUACUGGGGAUAAAGGGGGCGCAGCAGGCGCUGCAAGACAGGAGUGCAAGCCCGGGGCCCACCCCCGGGACUGCUCUGGGAACUGCGUGGCGGGAGUGCAGGAGGGGCAGGCGGAAUUCCUGGUGUAGCGGUGAAAUGCGUAGAUAUCAGGAGGAACACCGGUGGCGAAGGCGGCCUGCUGGACUGCAACUGACGUUGAGGCCCGAAAGCGUGGGGAGCAAACAGGAUUAGAUACCCGUGUAGUC